GCACCGGGAUUGGGGCGGUGUGUAACGCUGGAGGGAAGGAUAGAGAGGCGCGUCCCUGGCCAGGGAUGCUGGGAGUUAUGGUCUCUUAACGGUUUCCAGCGAUGGCCCCCGGCCUGCAGACUACAAUCCCAGCAGCCACCGGGCUUCGAGGCGGUGUGUAGCACUGAAGGGAAGGAUAGGGAGGUGCGUCCUUAGCCAGGCGUGCUGGCAGUUAUGGUCUCUUAACAGUUUCCAGUCAGUUGGUCCCAGGACUACCUGACUACAAUCCCAGUAUGCGUUGGGCUUGGGGGCGGUGCGCAGCCCUAGAGGAAGGAUCGGGACGGCGGGUACCUCGCAAAGCAUCCUGGGAGUCAUAGUCCUUUCAGUAUUUCCAGCCCAUUGGUCGCGAGGCUAACGGACUACAAUCUCAGCAUGCGCUGGGUUUGGGGGCGGUGUGUAGUAUGGAAGCGAAGGAUAGGGAGGCGCGUCCCUAGCUAGGAGUGCUGGGAGUUAUGGUGUCUUAACGGUUUCCAGCCCAUUGGUCGCCGACCUGCUAACUACAAAACCAGCAUGCGCUGUCUGUCCUACCCCGUGGUGCGCAGCCCUGGAGGGAGGGACAGGGCGGUGUGGACUCGUCCUUUCCUAAGCGAUGCCACAUGCUGAUUCUGUGCCACCCCCUCGCCAAGGGAGUCCGCAGAAGGACUUGAGGGGCAGGUCUAGGCUGGGCGAUGAGGACGGUGUGACCCUGCGAAGUGCACCUCCCUUGCUCAAAUCGGAGGGGUCUGGUCCUCACUGAACAGCCCGCUGAACAUCUCGGUGUCCUCUCACAUACACACCCGCGGGGGGUUUCCAGAGCAUCGCACCUCUUCCAGCCCAGGGAGCCGCCUGCUCUGCUAAACUCUAUGGGAACUGAGACAUCCACCUGCUGCGUGACCCACCCGUGCGCAACUUCAGAGCUUUCAGGGGGUGAUGCGGGCUGUGGCUCCUUCGUGAAAAUGUCACCGUCUGCAGCGCCUUUCUUGUGAUAUAGAACUUGACGGGUGAGAGCGGGUAUUUCUUGGGUUACUCAGGAUCUGCUAACAGCAGAGGAGAAAACCACAAUUCCCAGGCAUAAGAAUCUACCUAAAGACGAUGGUUUAGAUAUUUUACAGUUGAAAUCACCAGCCUCAUCUCAACUGAGUCCUGACUGACGAGUGUCUCAAAAAAGCAGUUGGUGACCUCAUCCCUCAGGAACAGGUGGUGCUCCAGCUUUGUGGGGAUGACUUUCAAGGUGCAGAGCACUUGAGCCGCAUUUGAAGUCAUUCAUGUUUUACAUCUCUGCUUUGGAUGGAAAGUUGAUCCCCCACAGCCGUUGGGGAUGUACCUUAAUAUACUGGGGCUUAUGAGUUAAAUUUUUCUGUCUAGACAAUGAAAACCCAGAAGUUCCACUUGCAGGUAGCCUCUUAAUAAUCGACGUCCCUAAGUUCCUUAUGUCCUCAGGAUAGUUCCUUUUGUUCCCAGAUGUUACCAACUUUGAUGAUGCAUCUAAUCUGUAUAAACCUGUGUAUUUCUCUAUGUGAAAAGAAUACUUUGUUCAAAUUACAUGUUCUUAUAAUUUUCACUUGUGAUCGGUGAGUAUGGGACACUAUAAAAAAAUCCUGAAAAACCUCAUCAUAGCAAUUGAAUCACGUUACUGUACUUUAUGAGGAAUUAACCCCUUCAGGAUGAAUUACUCAUGGGUUCAUCAGCACAUUUGUGAAGAAAGGAAGAAAAACUGUAUGGCCUUUAUGAAAUUGGAAAAAUAAAGAACUAUAUAUAGGAGGACCACAGCACAAUACUAGGGCCCUUCUCUUAUUUUAAAUAGACUCUAUGGGGUCGAAUGCCUGCAUUCCUAACCUAUCCUGCAGUAUUCUCAUCCUACUCUUCACUGUGUAUUUAGGUGUGGGUUUCUGAAUUCACUUGUCCACAGCGUUAGUGGGGAUGUUGUAACGUGAGGGUAUCCAUCAUCUAUCAUCUUAAUAAUUAGUGAAGAGAAGAGCCUUGAGAUCUGUCUUCAGAUACACUGCUGCCGAGUAUGUGCCUGCAAAGACACUGCCCACACCGGUGGUCUCAGAAAGUUGAACCUGAUGCCACCACAAGCUGCUGUUCACAGAUCUAGGUGCUCCUGGUGAUUUGAGUCUCCUGCUUACAUUUGUGGUUGUGAACCUGCUAUGCUCACCCCAUUUAUGGUUCCUGCGAAUUAAGUUGCAAAUAUUGAUGAAGAUAAUACUACUGCCUUGCUGUCAAACAGUAACAGUCACCUUUUUUUGUAUCUCCAAUUAUAAAUGCAAUGCGUACUGUAAAAAGAAAAGAAAACAUCAUAAAUAUCUUUAUAAAGUAAAAGUCUUGGCUGGUCGCCGGGAGCAGUGACUCAUGCCUGUAAUCUCAGCACUUUGUGAGGCCGAGGUGGGUGGAUCAUGAGGUCAGGAAUUUGAGGCCAGCCUAGCUGACAUGGUGGAACCCCAUCUCUGCUAAAAAAUACAAAAAUUAGCUGGUCUCGGUGGCGGGUGCCUAUAAUCCCAGCUACCCACGAGGCUGAGGCAGGAGAAUCACUUGAACCCAGGAGGCAAAUGGUGCAGUGAGCCAAGAUCGUGCCAUUGCACUCUAGCCUGGGCAACAGAGUGAGACUCCAUCUCAAAAACAAAACCAAACAAAAAACUUGGUUGGCCUAGUGGCUCAAUCCCAGCACUUUGGGAGCCCAAGGCAGGUGAAUUGUUUGAGCCCAGAAGCUCAAGACCAGUGUGAGCAACAUGGUAAAACCCUCUCUCUACAAAAAUACAAAAAUUAACCAGUUGUGGUGAUGUACACCUGUAUUCCCAGCUACUAGGGAGGCUGAGGUGGGAGGAUUGUUUGAGCCUGGGAGGCCAAGUUUGCAGUGAGCUGAAAUCACACCACUGCGCUUCCAUGUGGGCAACAAAGUGAGACCCUGACUCAAAAAAUAAAAAACACAUUAAACUGAAAGUCCCCUUUAUUCCCUUCUCUUCAAACUCACUUUUUUUAUUUGAAAAAACUGUUAAGAGGUUGUUUUUUAUUCUUCUGGCUAAGUUGUAUAAAUUUCUUUUUUUUUCGAGACAGACUCUCGCUCUGUUGUCCAGGCUGGAGUGCAGCGGCGCGAUCCCGGCUCACUGCAAGCUCUGCCUCCCGGUUUCACGCCAUUCUCCUGCCUCAGCCUCCCGAGUAGCUGAGACUAGAGUUGCCCGCCACCACACCCGGCUAAUUUUUUGUAUUUUUAGUAGAGACAGGGUUUCACCGUGUUAGCCAGGAUGGUCUUGGUCUCGAUAUCCGGCCCCCUGAUCUGCCCACUUCGUCUUCUCAGAGUGCUGGGAUUAGAGGCGUGAGCCACCGCCCCCGGCCUGUUCUAUAAAUUUCUAAGUGAUACACACAUAAAGUUUAUUUUAAAAAUUACAUCACACUACAUUAAAAUUUACUCUUUCUCCAGGUGUAUUCCAUCUAUCUAUCUAUCUAUCUAUCAUCUAUCAUCUAUCUAUCUAUGACAAGGCCUUGCUCUGUCACACAGACUGGAGUUCAGUAGCUCAAUUAUGGCUCACUGCAGACUCAAACUCUCAGGCUCAAAUGAUUUUCUAACUUCAGCUUCUGAAGUAGCUGGGAGUACAGGUGCAUGCCACUACUCCUGGUUAAUUUUUAGUUUUUGUUUGUUUUUUUCUUUAAACAGGGUCUCACUGUGUCACCUGGGCUGGAAUGCAAUGCAUAAUCACAGCUCACUCUAGCCUUGACCACUCAGGCUCAGGCAAUUCUCCUGCCUCAGCCUCCUGAGCAGAUGGGACCACAAAUGUGUAUUAACACACUUGGCUGUUUAUUAUUAUUUGCAGAGACAGGGUCUCCCUAUCCUGCCCAGGCAUGUUGUGAACUCUUGUGCUUAAGCAAUCUGCUACCUCGGCCUCCCAAAUUGCUGGAAUUACAGGUGUGAGCCACCACAACUUACCCAGCCUUUUUACUUUGUGUAAGAAUAGCAUCAGUGUAUUAAAAAUACAACGGAAAUUAUUUAUGGUGUCUUUUCAAUUCUUAUGCAUUAAAAUUCUCUUAUUAGGGCCUUUUAUUAAUGGUUACAGUGUAUUUUCUGUGAAAUUUUACUGUCACACACUGCAUGCCAAUGAUUCAAGAUACCCGAACUUCAUGAAUGCACAGUCACAGUAGAAUAUUUUAGUUAUCUAAAAAGUAUUUUCAUAAAUGAUAUAUCAAGUUUAUAUGCAAGGUAGCCUGGUCUGGUAGCAGGUGCUUGUAAUCUCAGUGAAGGCUGAGGCAGGAGAAUGGUUUGAACUCAGGAGGCGGAGGUUGAAAUGAGCCGUCGUCUCGCCACUGCACUUCAGCUUGGGUGACAGAGUGAGACUCUGUCUCAAAAAAAGAAAAAAACUUUGCUUGCAAGAUUUUAUGAGUAAAUAUGUUUCUUAUUUUUCUUUACAAUUCCAUAUUACUGUCUCGAUUAUUUAUAAUAGGUUCCAGGGCAGCAGUUGAUUUUAUUUUGGGUUUUACUUAUGUAUUAUAACUUUGGAUGUUAUAAUUUCCAACUCUGCCUGUACACUUCAAGUCAAUGUGGAUUUUUAAAAAAAUGUUAAUAGUACAAACUAUUCAUAGAUUCAACUUCGUAAUGUUAAAAGCAACGGCAGCUCCUGGUUUAAAAAGGGAACGGUGGAAGCAGCCGGCCAUUUUAUUUAAAAUCGCGUUAGAUUUUUCAGAAGGAUGAUAGUUAAGAUCAUUAAAUCCCAUUACUGCUUCUAAGAUUUCCACAAAAUAGCACAUUAAAUCCUCAGUCCUAAACAAUCACGACAGAGAUUCAAAAUUGCCUCUCAAUGUCAAGGUAAACAGCGCACUAUCUUCUCUUGCAAUAAAGGUACAUCAUUUGAUAUACAAGGGAGCAUAGCAGUCAGACACUUACAAGAUCGUGCUGUAGAAAUAACUUCCAUGUUUUCAUCCGCCAUGUGUAUCCUCACCUCUGUCUCCCAUGCAGUAACACUAUCAGUUUCCUCAUCUGUCCUUUCUACUUUCUUUUAAAGAGGAGGCUGAUUGCAGACAAUACAUGACAGAGGCAUUUCAAAUCAGAAAGGAGUUUCUUGAGAUAUACGUGAUUUUAGUUUUAAGUAGAAUGUCCUGAAGAGUUUUAGUUACAAUACCACCUUCAAGAGGAUGGUGGUGAAAUUCAUAGUAAACAUUUGGCAAAAUAUAGGUUAUGAGGCAGCCAUCUCCUAGAAACACUUCAUCGGGGUUUAUAUAUGAAAUGUGAAAUAUCGUAGGUUUAAUCCUGGCACAGAACCAAAACUGAGUGCAUUGCACUUGAACAGCUGACCAAUCCCCAGCACAGGUCCAUAUGAAGAAACGGAGAAGAAAGAAUCCUUUUAACCACAGAAAGGUCUUCAUUUGCCCAAACUGAAAACCAAAUUUCACUCAGGAAACUAAUGUUGGGUUUAAUUAAAAUAUAAAUCGGUCAUACGUUUUCAAAAUUAAAUUAUAUAUGUGUUUGUCUCUAUAAAUAUGUCCCCAACUUUGCUCAUGGCUUAUCUUCCAUAUUUUUUGGCUGAUUUUCAGUGGUUGUCUUAUCUUGUGUGGAUGAAUAGUCAUUGAAAUAAUCUUAAUUUCACAAUGUGUUUAAUUAUAAAUCUAUACUUCCUUUGUGUGAGAGAAAAUCUUUUGUGAACAAAAUUUAAUUUUUGGAAAGCUUUAUAAGUCCAUAUUUUUCCUUUUAAAAAUUGCGAUUGUGGUAAAAACACAUAAUGUAAAAUUUACCAUUUUAAUUCUUUUUAAGUGUAUAUUUCAUUAGCGUUAAGUACAUUCACAUAGUUAUGCAAAAGAUCUGUAGAACUUCUAUGUCUUGCAAAACUAACAUUAAAUGUCUUUUAAGACAAUUGCCCAUUUUACCAUCUCUUCAGUCCUUGACAAACACCAUUCUAACUUUUUUUUUCUAUGAGUUUGUCUACUUAAGAUACCUGAUUAUGAAUGGAAUCAUAGACUGUCACUUUGUUCCUGGCUUAUUUCAGUUAACGUGAUAUUCUCAAGAAUAAUCAUAUAAUGUGACUUUUUAAAGACUGAAUAAUAUUCGACUUUGUGUAUGUGCCACUUGUUGUUAAUCUCUUCAUUGGUCAAGGGACAGCUGGGUUGUUUCUGCCUUUUGGCUUGUGUUAGUAAUGCUGCAAUAAAUUUGGGUGUGCAAAUA